rnacentral:rRNA from 1 species
CCGGACCGGCGCACGGGUGAGUAACGCGUAUGCAACCUGCCUGAUACCGGGGUAUAGCCCAUGGAAACGUGGAUUAACACCCCAUAGUACUUUUAUCCUGCAUGGGAUGUGAGUUAAAUGUUCAAGGUAUCGGAUGGGCAUGCGUCCUAUUAGUUAGUUGGCGGGGUAACAGCCCACCAAGACGAUGAUAGGUAGGGGUUCUGAGAGGAAGGUCCCCCACAUUGGAACUGAGACACGGUCCAA